rnacentral:rRNA from 1 species
GCCUGAUGCAGCGACGCCGCGUGAGGGAUGACGGCCUUCGGGUUGUAAACCUCUUUCAGUAGGGACGAAGCGAAAGUGACGGUACCUACAGAAGAAGGACCGGCCAACUACGUGCCAGCAGCCGCGGUAAUACGUAGGGUCCGAGCGUUGUCCGGAAUUACUGGGCGUAAAGAGCUCGUAGGUGGUUUGUCACGUUGUUCGUGAAAACCCACAGCUUAACUGUGGGCGUGCGGGCGAUACGGGCAGACUAGAGUACUGCAGGGGAGACUGGAAUUCCUGGUGUAGCGGUGGAAUGCGCAGAUAUCAGGAGGAACACCGGUGGCGAAGGCGGGUCUCUGGGCAGUAACUGACGCUGAGGAGCGAAAGCGUGGGUAGCGAACAGGAUUAGAUACCCUGGUAGUCCACGCCGUAAACGGUGGGUACUAGGUGUGGGUUUCCUUCCUUGGGAUCCGUGCCGUAGCUAACGCAUUAAGUACCCCGCCUGGGGAGUACGGUCGCAAGACUAAAACUCAAAGGAAUUGACGGGGGCCCGCACAAGCGGCGGAGCAUGUGGAUUAAUUCGAUGCAACGCGAAGAACCUUACCUGGGUUUGACAUGCGCAGGACGUAUCUAGAGAUAGGUAUUCCCUUGUGGCC